UGGGGAAUUUUGGACAAUGGGCGCAAGCCUGAUCCAGCCAUGCCGCGUGAGUGAAGAGGGCCUUCGGGUUGUAAAGCUCUUUCGGCGGGGACGAAACGGUUCGUGACAACACCACGGACUAAUGACGGUACCCGCAUAAGAAGCACCGGCUAACUUCGUGCCAGCAGCCGCGGUAAUACGAAGGGAGCUAGCGUUGUUCGGAAUCACUGGGCGUAAAGCGCACGUAGGUGGGCAGUUAAGUCAGGGGUGAAAGCCCGAGGCUCAACCUCGGAAUUGCCUCUGAUACUGGCUGUCUAGAGUCCGAGAGAGGUGGGUGGAAUUCCUAGUGUAGAGGUGAAAUUCGUAGAUAUUAGGAAGAACACCGGUGGCGAAGGCGGCCCACUGGCUCGGUACUGACACUGAGGUGCGAAAGCGUGGGGAGCGAAACAGGAUUAGAUACCCCUGUAGUCCCUGAGCGGGCUGGCAAGGCGCAU
rnacentral:rRNA from 1 species